rnacentral:rRNA from 1 species
GACGAACGCUGGCGGCGCGCCUAACACAUGCAAGUCGAACGGAGUGCCCUUGAUUGAGGACUCGUCCAAAUGAUAGGGUUACUUAGUGGCGGACGGGUGAGUAACGCGUGAGUAACCUGCCUAGGAGUGGGGAAUAACACAGAGAAAUCAUUGCUAAUACCGCAUAUGCCAUGAACAUCACAUGAUGAAAAUGGGAAAAGAGUAAUCUGCUAGUAGAUGGGCUCGCGUCUGAUUAGAUAGUUGGUGGGGUAACGGCCUACCAAGUCGACGAUCAGUAGCCGGACUGAGAGGUUGAACGGCCACAUUGGGACUGAGAUACGGCCCAG